ACGGGGGGGGCAAGCGUUGUUCGGAAUUACUGGGCGUAAAGGGCUCGUAGGUGGCCAACUAAGUCAGACGUGAAAUCCCUCGGCUUAACCGGGGAACUGCGUCUGAUACUGGUUGGCUUGAGUUUGGGAGAGGGACGCGGAAUUCCAGGUGUAGCGGUGAAAUGCGUAGAUAUCAGGAAGAACACCCGUGGCUAAGGCGGCUCUCUAGUACGGUACUGACGCUGAGACGCGAAAGCGUGGGGAGCGAACAGGA
rnacentral:rRNA from 1 species